rnacentral:lncRNA from 1 species
GAAAUCUCUUGUCUUGAGGACACUGAUGGACAGGUCCUGGCUAAAGAUUGUGAAAUCCUCUAAGGAGCACAGAUGGACAAGGCCAGGGGCAAUGAGAGAGAGAUAAGCUGCUGCUAAUGGCCGGGAAAUGGUCUUUUUGUGUGGACUUAUCUCAAAGAAAAUGGCCAUCUCAGGAGGUAUGCACAUGACUCUUGCUCAAGCACCCAGGAAUGUCACGUAGGCAGCAGAAAAUGGAGGAUAAAAGAGGGCCCAACAACCACGGCUGGGUGGAGGCUGAUCUCUCACCGCAACACAGAGGCUGAUCUCUCAUGAUCUCUCACCACGACACAAGCUUUCUGCCUUCAGAUCCUUCUCUACGGACCGUUUGCUGACGGACUUCCCUGGGCCUGCUACCUGAGACCUGCUGCUUCCUCCCUGACCUGCACCCUCUCGUUGCCCAAGACCGGCCUCGCUGCUCCUGCCCUUCGGCCUCGGACCGUCGGAACGUCGUGCAACGGGACUGCUGCCGGAUCCUGGUGGUGACUAUCCCCGCUUUACGCAAUUCUUGCCUCUUUCUAUCUUUUCUAUCGCUCGCCUUCCCUUCCCCAUCACCCCAAUCCUUAAUAGUGUCCGUCCUCCCCUUUCUUCAUCUCCCUUAUUAACAUUUGUAAUAAACUGGUCGGACCAACAUUUGAACCGUUGUUUCUUAAUCUCACGCCGGGCAUACAUAUUUCAAAGAACCUCCUCUCUCUCCUAUAAAUUGGAGCGAGACAGACUGAGAGGUACUAGAGAACUGACCUAAUAAGGAGAGAAGCACAUUGUCAAGAAAAAUUUAAG